UACGGAGGGUGCAAGCGUUAAUCGGAAUUACUGGGCGUAAAGGGUAUGUAGGCGGUUUAAUAAGUUAAGUGUGAAAUUCCCGGGCUCAACCUGGGGUAGUCACUUAAGACUGUUAGACUGGAGUAUAGGAGAGGGUAGUGGAAUUUCCGGUGUAGCGGUGAAAUGCGUAGAGAUCGGAAGGAACACCAGUGGCGAAGGCGGCUACCUGGCCUAAUACUGACGCUGAGAUACGAAAGCAUGGGUAGCAAACAGG
rnacentral:rRNA from 1 species